ACGUAGGUCACAAGCGUUGUCCGGAAUUACUGGGUGUAAAGGGAGCGCAGGCGGGAAGACAAGUUGGAAGUGAAAUCCAUGGGCUCAACCCAUGAACUGCUUUCAAAACUGUUUUUCUUGAGUAGUGCAGAGGUAGGCGGAAUUCCCGGUGUAGCGGUGGAAUGCGUAGAUAUCGGGAGGAACACCAGUGGCGAAGGCGGCCUACUGGGCAUCAACUGACGCUGAGGCUCGAAAGUGUGGGUAGCAAACAG
rnacentral:rRNA from 1 species